rnacentral:lncRNA from 1 species
GAAGUGCUUCAUAUGUAUUUAAAUGUCACCCCCCCCACACACACACACAGAAACCCCCUAACACUCGCAGUCACGUCCAGAAAGCUCUGCCCCGGUCUCCAUCACCUCGCGUCAGCUGCCCUUUCACAUGCAUGAAGGGGUAGCACAGUUUUAUGAGCUGUAGUUACCUGGGUCCUUUCAGGUCCUGGGUGUAGACCAGUGGCGGUGGCCCCCUCCUCCCUGGUGGGUCCAAACGGAUCUUUAAAGUCCUCAGCUGCGUCCUUAGGUCAAGCGGGGGCCUUGCAGCAGCGCGGUCAGUGACACAGCACUUUAAUGUGACCCGAAGUCAGGACAUCAGCGCACGAGGCUUUCUCCCUCAUGUUUAUUUGAUCGCUGUGCCCAUUAGGAGGCAGGUUUGUUUUCGGCCCCUGAGCCUGCACGCAGGGGCCCAGCCUUAGCCUCACACACUGUCAGCGGUGGGCAGCCUGCUGCUGGGUGUGGUGUGAAUGCCGUGCGGGCGGGAAGGAGGCCCUGC